AUUGGAUCUGAUAGAACUCCCUUCUAUAUUUGGCAGCUUUUCUCAGAUUGGCCACUGUGUUUUCCAAUGAGUAGAGAUGGGUAAUUUAAGGCUGGAGAAGAAAUUAUCAUCUCUAUGGAAGGGAAGCAUGGUUAGUCAACCUGACAUCGCUGUCAUCCUAGAAGCUGGGCAUGCUGAUUUAUUCGUUCAUAGCCUUCCGCUUUCCCUAUCACUGGAACUAAGUUCUUCCAUCGAUCCAGCUCAGCCAGCAGCAUCUAGACACGGACUGUGAUACCUGUGAGCACGUGGGUACACUAAUGAGGGGUUUUCUGCUGCAGAAUGGUGAAUUCCUGUUGUCCAGGGCUUGGGAGUGUGGUGUCAGGGGCAGUGGAACAUUUUUUUUUUUUUGCAAGGCUGAAGAGCUAAAAAUGAAAACGCACCCGAGAGCCAUCAACUACUUACAAGACUCGGAGGUUCUUGAGCCCAGCGAAGUCCAUCUUGGUGAUCCUGGUGAUAUUAUUUCUGUCCAGGUCACUGCAAUGGAGAGCAAAUUCAGGUCAGAUUUUUGUGGGUUACAAUCACAGUCUAUUUAAUCCAGACUGGCUUGGACUGAAGGGACGUUGCUUGUCCAGAAGGCGGCAAUUCUGAUGAUUAACGAUAUCCCUUGAGCAUGCCCGGCUAACCUUAAGGAUAUUGUAUGGAAUAAACCAUUCAUUAUGCACAUAGCAGA